UCAUCACAUUGGUAUCAGCAUUAUAUGGAGGGUGGGGAGUGUACAUAUGUAAUUUAUUAUUUUAUUUUCCAGUGGCUGUCCAGCUGGUGGGAAUGCAGACCGUAUCCAGAAGCUACGGAAGGAAUACCAUCAGGCCAGGCGAGACGGUUUACCUUUCUACGAGGAUGAUGAGAUGAGAACACGGUCAUCUGAUUAUGAUCAGCACUGGGUGCCUGGAAAAGGUCCAGAUGGGAGUUCACACAAUCUCCACUUUGAAGGGAUGGAAAGGCAAUAUGCAUCCUUACCCAGAGGAGAUGUUCCACGCUUGAGAGCAUAUGAACAAAAUGAGAGGGAGCGACCUAGGGAAGAUUACCAGAGCAGUUGUCUUGUAUCCGUAUCAGGUACUUAUAAAAUACCAACCACUGUGCUUGGAGUUUUUUAGGUUUUUAACCUAAUUACUUAAUUAUCAUGGCUCCUGAUAUUUGUAGGCAGGGUUUUUUGCCUGGGGGCGGGGUAGCUUUUGCGUGGAGGGUGGGAUUUUCAAAAGUUGGCCUAAUUCCUUCCACUGAAAUCAAUUGGAGUUUCACACUUACUUUCAAUAGGAGCAGAAUUUAGCCAGUGCUGAGUGUUUUGUGAAAAUCCCUCCCUAAAUUCUGAUGCUGGCCAGACUAGAGCACAGUUCAUUCCUAUUUUCUAUAAGAGGCUCAGUAUAGUUGCCGUUACGGUGGUGCUCAUAUGUACAAAAGGAAUCAUUAAGCUCCCUAAGGAAAGCCUCACAUCAUGUGUUAUUGUCAUCUCAUGGUAGACGUUUAAAACAUUCUUUCAGGUUACUAAAUUGCAUUUUUUUAAAUUCUUUCUGUACCUCUUUUGACCUAUGUGGAGAGUUGUCAUCAGUAGCUAAAUUCCCUGAUUUGGUCCCAGUUUUGAGAGGCACUGAGCACCUGAUAAAUAUCUUCAACUCCUAAUAAGUUCAGGUGUCCAGCACCUCUCAAAAUGAGCCCCUAUGCUACUGCUUCUGUGGCGUCUGCAUUACAGAAAGUUUGCAAUCAUGGCAGUCCAUUCUGUAUGAUCCUCUGCUAGUCUCUUUAUGGAUGAAUAGUCCUUUUAAUCCACCCAGGAUACCACAUUGUCCAUCCAAGACUUUAUUUUUCUGCCUCAUGUUCUUCUGCCAUCAAGUUUCCCUUCCAGUACCCAUAAACAUGCAUCACCUGCUGAACCCCUUAAAAUGUGUCCUGCAAACAAAAGCUAUGUUUUCAUAAGAUCUCUGACUAGCAUUUGCUGAGUUCCAGUCAUCUCCAAUACUUUUUAUUGGCUAGAGGCUAUCCAUGAUAUGCUUUCAAAUAGAAAAAGGCCUGAUUUUCCAGUCACUUAAGGCUGGUCUACACACCAUUUUUGUCCUGCUAUAACCAGGGGUAGGCAACCUAUGGCACGUGUGCCAAAGGCGGCAUGCGAGCUGAUUUUCAGUGGCACUCACACUGCCCGGGUCCUGGCCACCGGUCCGGGGGGCUCUGCAUUUUAAUUUAAUUUUAAAUGAAGCUUCUUAAACAUUUUAAAAACUUUAUUUACUUUACAUACAACAAUAGUUUAGUUCUAUAUUAUAGACUUAUAGAAAGAGACUUUCUAAAAACGUUAAAAUGUGUCCCUGACACGCGAAACCUUAAAUUAGAGUGAAUAAAUGAAGACUCGGCACACCA
ensembl:lncRNA